GCGAUAUUUAACUUGUUUGUAUCCUAAAUUCUCAGAUUAAGUUAAACAACUGGCGAGUCGAUAUCAAUAAGCACUUCGAUUUCGUUGUAGCGCUUUGGUUGGCAUGUAAUUUUUCGGGAAACAAUGUCAACAGAGUUAAUAGUGCCGGUGUUACUAAUCCUAACGCUGUUCGUUAUAAACGGAGUUGUGCUCUUCUUCAUACACAAAGCAAAAAAAAACAUCUCAAAGGCACGGCACAAACCAUCGAAAAAAAAAUACGUCCCGAACAUAGGUCGAGGAUUUUAUGGAUCAAUGGAAAUAACAAACUCGGUCACUUUUCAUCGCGAGAAUCAGAAAAUACAUCAACACGACCAAGAAAGUGCGCGAUUAACUUAAUACGAAUAUAAAUUCAAAUUAAGGAAUGCAGUUGAAUUUAAAGACGAAGAGAUGGUGGUUUUUUCAACAAAAGAAGCACAACAUGUAUCUGAAAAAAUAUAAUUUGUUUCAUUCGAACUGUUGUUGACAAUAAAUUAAAGAAAAUAAAAUAAUUUUAA